AUGCUAAACUUCAAAAUCCUCCAUGCCUCAAUUUCUUCAUGUCACAGAACUAGCUGCACAUACAAACCAUUAUCCUGCAGUCAUGAAGAAACCGCCCUGCAUCAGUUUCGGAAAAAACGGAAAGAUCUCAAAAAAGAACCAGUAUCUGGUACCCCGUGUUACAGGCCUGUGUACUCACGCCAAUAUUUUUCCGUAAUCGUGAACUAG